rnacentral:rRNA from 1 species
GACGAACGCUGGCGGCGUGCUUAACACAUGCAAGUCGAACGGAAAGGCCCUGCUUUUGUGGGGUGCUCGAGUGGCGAACGGGUGAGUAACACGUGAGUAACCUGCCCUUGACUUUGGGAUAACUUCAGGAAACUGGGGCUAAUACCGGAUAGGAGCUCCUGCUGCAUGGUGGGGGUUGGAAAGUUUCGGCGGUUGGGGAUGGACUCGCGGCUUAUCAGCUUGUUGGUGGGGUAGUGGCUUACCAAGGCUUUGACGGGUAGCCGGCCUGAGAGGGUGACCGGCCACAUUGGGACUGAGAUACGGCCCAGACUCCUACGGGAGGCAGCAGUGGGGAAUAUUGCACAAUGGGCGGAAGCCUGAUGCAGCAACGCCGCGUGCGGGAUGACGGCCUUCGGGUUGUAAACCGCUUUCGCCUGUGACGAGGCGUGAGUGACGGUAAUGGGUAAAGAAGCACCGGCUAACUACGUGCCAGCAGCCGCGGUGAUACGUAGGGUGCGAGCGUUGUCCGGAUUUAUUGGGCGUAAAGGGCUCGUAGGUGGUUGAUCGCGUCGGAAGUGUAAUCUUGGGGCUUAGCCCUGAGCGUGCUUUCGAUACGGGUUGACUUGAGGAAGGUAGGGGAGAAUGGAAUUCCUGGUGGAGCGGUGGAAUGCGCAGAUAUCAGGAGGAACACCAGUGGCGAAGGCGGUUCUCUGGGCCUUUCCUGACGCUGAGGAGCGAAAGCGUGGGGAGCGAACAGGCUUAGAUACCCUGGUAGUCCACGCUGUAAACGGUGGGUACUAGGUGUGGGGUCCAUUCCACGGGUUCCGUGCCGUAGCUAACGCUUUAAGUACCCCGCCUGGGGAGUACGGCCGCAAGGCUAAAACUCAAAGGAAUUGACGGGGCCCCGCACAAGCGGCGGAGCAUGCGGAUUAAUUCGAUGCAACGCGUAGAACCUUACCUGGGUUUGACAUGGAUCGGGAGUGCUCAGAGAUGGGUGUGCCUCUUUUGGGGUCGGUUCACAGGUGGUGCAUGGCUGUCGUCAGCUCGUGUCGUGAGAUGUUGGGUUAAGUCCCGCAACGAGCGCAACCCUUGUUCACUGUUGCCAGCACGUUAUGGUGGGGACUCAGUGGAGACCGCCGGGGUCAACUCGGAGGAAGGUGGGGAUGACGUCAAGUCAUCAUGCCCCUUAUGUCCAGGGCUUCACGCAUGCUACAAUGGCUGGUACAGAGAGUGGCGAGCCUGUGAGGGUGAGCGAAUCUCGGAAAGCCGGUCUCAGUUCGGAUUGGGGUCUGCAACUCGACCUCAUGAAGUCGGAGUCGCUAGUAAUCGCAGAUCAGCAACGCUGCGGUGAAUACGUUCCCGGGGCU